rnacentral:rRNA from 1 species
CAGCAGCCGCGGGAAUACGUAGGGUGCAAGCGUUAUCCGGAAUUAUUGGGCGUAAAGAGCUCGUAGGCGGUUUGUCGCGUCUGCCGUGAAAGUCCGGGGCUCAACCCCGGAUCUGCGGUGGGUACGGGCAGACUAGAGUGAUGUAGGGGAGACUGGAAUUCCUGGUGUAGCGGUGAAAUGCGCAGAUAUCAGGAGGAACACCGAUGGCGAAGGCAGGUCUCUGGGCAUUAACUGACGCUGAGGAGCGAAAGCAUGGGGAGCGAACAGGAUUAGAUACCCGAGUAGUCCCUGUCUCUUAUAA